rnacentral:rRNA from 1 species
GCUCAAAUUUGAAAGCUGGUACCUUCGGUAUCCGCGUUGUAACCUCGAGACACGUUUUCCGUGCGGCGCUAUGGACAAGUUCCUUGGAACAGGACAUCGUAGAGGGUGAAAAUCCCGUACUUGCCAUGGAUGUACCGUGCUUUGCGAUACGUGCUCUAAGAGUCGAGUUGUUUGGGAUUGCAGCUCAAAAUGGGUGGUAGACUCCAUCUAAAGCUAAAUAUCGGGGAGAGACCGAUAGCGAACAAGUACCGUGAGGGAAAGAUGAAAAGCACUUUGGAAAGAGAGUUAAAAGUACGUGAAAUUGUCGAAAGGGAAGCGCUUGAAGUCAGCCAUGCCGCUCAGGACUCAGCCUGGCUUUUGCUUGGUGUAUUUCCUGGGUAGCAAGUCAGCAUUGGUUUGGAUCGUCGGAGAAGCAUAGUCGGAAUGUGGCGCCCUCGGGCGUGUUAUAGCCUUCUAUUGGAUACGACGAUCUAGACCAAGGAACGCAGCGCGCCUUAUGGCGGGUCUUCGGACACCUUCGCGCUUAGGAUGCUGGCGUAAUGGCUUUAAGUGGCCCGUCUUGAAACA